rnacentral:lncRNA from 1 species
AACUGUUCCAAUCUAUAAAACCUGGAAUUAUUCCCAUCUAUAUAGACAGGCGGUUCUUUGAUUGUAUAAAGAAAAGAAACCUCGAAGAGAUAUAAAGAAAAGAUAUGAAGAGACUUCUAGUUUUUAUAUAUUCCAUAUGGCUGUGAUAUCUGUCUUUAUAUAAACAUCUUUUUAUAUAAAAUAUAAUAUAAUUUUAUUAGAUUUGCUUAUUUACAAAGAACAAAAUGAUAUGUGUUUUCCCGGAAUUUAUGGCCGCCUUUGAAUGUUUAUAUCAAAUUAAAAUUCUCACGCGCCGUAUAAAAACAGACUUUCACAUAUUUUCCUGUAUAUAUUUGCAACCUUUGUCGUCUGGCUUCCUUCCAAACGUAUAUUAAAAACAAUAUUUCUUUCAGCAAAACCAAUCAAUAUGAGCGAAGCAAAGAACCUCAUGACCACCUUCGGCAUCCUGGCCUUCCUGCUCUUCUGCCUGUACCUCAUCUAUGCAGUAUUGUAGACACACAGGGCCCACUAGGAGGUCCUUAGAGCGGGAAUAUGGGGUAAGAAUUGUGAUGAAAUGGCUGCUGUAGUGUCCUACUGGACGAAUUUAAGUGGGAAAUAUUUAUUAACUUUAAGUCGGGAACUCUGUGCUGAACUCACGACUCUUUGGUUAGAAGACUUUCUGUGGUUGAAGGAUUCUCACCUAAUAAUUAUAUAGAUAGAUCUCAAUCCGGGAAUAACAUUCCAGAUUAAAUCGCUGUUGGUAUUUUUAAGUUAGAAAAUAAAUUUCUUAGUUUUUUAAUAGCCCGCGAGUCCCUGAAACGACUUCUCCAUUGCCAUAAUAAUUAUAUGAAAUGAACAUUCGUCUAACAAACAUCAAAAACAACACCAUAUUGGUGCUAGUUUCGAAAAUAAUUUCAGUUUCUAUAUGCAAGAAUCCAAUUAGCCAAAAAUCAAUAUCAAUCAAUUCAAUCAACAAUCAAACUCAUUAAGACCAAAAAUUGUGCAUAAACUCAAUGAGGGCACCGUGACCGUGAUUUGUAAUGUUUGAUGUGGAAUGAGAAAUUUCAAGAUUUCAUCAAUAUUUGGAUACAUUGCGGCAGCAAACAAGCGAAUCCAUUCGAUGGUUGAAAGUAAAUACAAAUAUAUAUCUUGAGGCAACAAACAGGCUGCUGGAGAAAAUGCCGCUCUCUGCCCACCGAUAGAUUACGUCCUCCAUGAACCACAGAAAAAUAAACAAAAUUAUUUGGAAAAUGUUUUCAAAUGACAAGGUCCACGAAUCAUAUUCUGAGAGAGAAGCCAAUUUGUCCAGUAAAUGAAUAAUUGCUGAAUGAGAGACAGAGAGAGAGAGAGAGAGAGACAUAGAUGAAGUUAAAUCCCAUGGAAUCCAAGCGUAUAUAUCUUGAAUAUGUACCAAACUAUAAGCUAAAUAUAUGUAUACGUACCCGCUGCUGUGGGUGCAUAAAAAUGUGGGAAAUAUUUGUGCCGCAGCGAAGAAAAUAUGAGCAACAACUGGACACCCAUACAAGCCCGAUCAAAAUAUCUGAAUAUAUGCAUGUUUUAUAUAUAUCUUUGAAUAUACUCUACAUAUAAUCCAUUCUAUGGGCGUGCGUGUGUCUUCUGGUAGAGCAAUAGUUCCAAGCGCUGGCCAACAUUUUGUGGAGAAGCGGAUUCAGAUCCGAAAAUUCAGAGUCUCAGUUAUUGCGUGCCUUUAGCUACGAACGGUUGGACCAGUCGCCCAAUAAAAUUAGCUAUACCCCUAAAAGUGUGUGUUUUUGUGUGCCAAUAGGAUUGCAUUUUAACUCAAUUAAUUCCACAUUUUUUCCCAUUGUAAUCAUCAGAAACCAACAACAACAACAACAACCCAAUCAAAAUGAAUGAGGCCAGAAGUUUGUUCACCACCUUCCUGAUCCUGGCCUUUUUGCUGUUCCUGCUCUAUGCCUUCUACGAAGCCGCAUUCUAAACAACCCACCCCACCCACCCAUCAACCCAAUCAAUCAUCAAUAAAUCAAGGAUAGCUUACAUGUUGAAUUUCAAUUCCAAGCCAAAUCAAUGAACAACUUGUGGCCUAGGAGGAGUUUUAGGACCUUACGCGUUUAAGAUGUUAGCAUUUAAUGGAUUUCUACUAGUAACCUAAGCCAGGUGAGUCCCAUCUUAGUAAGUGCUGCGCCUAAUUAAGUCAAUUACGCCCACGCAAGUCGAAUAAAAAAUCGUUCGAAAUGCCAAGCGGACAGAGGGAGAAACCUUGAGAGAACCUCAAGCGAUCGUUGAAAAUUUCUUGGCAGCCGCCGUUUGGCACUGGCAGCUCGAUAAUAAUUUCCAAAAAGAAUAAAUAGAUUUCCUUGUUCUAUUUUUUAACGACAACAUUUCGACAUGGCCCACUAAACACCUUCCUGCCCCACUCAACCUCUCGCUUCCCCUGAGACACAUUAAAAAUCGUUUUCACACUGAAUUCUUCCAAAUGUUUCACUCUGAUAUUUCGCAAUUUUGUGCUUCAAAUCUUGCCUGAAAUUUCCUCAAUGCGACAGAAGCAUAAAAAUGUUCAAAGACAUUUUUUAUGGUCAGAAUUUAUGAUACGCUGAAGGUGGAAAAUUAUAAUUAAUUUUUAUUAAAUAUUUCCCAAACUUUGUUGCGAUGGCAAAAAUGCAAUAUUCAGCGAAAAUUAAUACAGAAAAGAGACCAAAUCCCUCAAUGAAUUAUCUUGAACUAAAAAUAAACCUUGAAGAGAUUAUGGCCAUUGUUUAUGCCAAUUCGACCACUUGAAUAAACAAAACGCAAAUCAAAGGCGAAAGUAAAAGCGAAAAUAUAUUUAAGUCCCAAAACCGUUUUCAAUUGCAAACAAUCUUUCAAUCUGUGAGUUAUGGUACACCCAAUGUACAUACAUACAUGUGUAGUAUUUAACAAAAUAAUUCCCACAUUGCAGAUGACGUCAAAGCCACCAGCUGCCCCAUGUCAGGCCCCUCGAUUAGUUUAGCACGGUUCUCAGGGGGCUCGGCAACAUCAGCAUUAUCAUUAUGAUGAUGUAUGGUCCACCCAUGCUGAGAGGUAAGUACCAGUGAAUGCAAUUUCCCGCCGAUUCGGCUCACUUAUGGACAAAUAAUUUUGUAUUUUUUUUUUAGAGCUGCGCAACAGCGAUCCCUUCUCAAGGCUCUGGCGGCCACGGCGUCAUUUGUUCUAAUCAUAAAUUUUAUUUUAUGAUUUCUUUUUCGUUUACGUUUUGCAAUGAGAUUGACUUAAUUUACAAUUUAUAGACCAUGAUGUACAGUAAAUGCCAACGACAACAGCAACAGCAACAGCAGCAAGAACAACAGCAACAACCAUCAAUAAGAACAUUCAAGAAUUUUGUUAUAAUUUCAUUGCUUAGCCACAAAUUUAUUUUGCAUUCGUAUUUAGUAAGACUUACAUAAUUGUAUAACUGCAUUUUACUGGACUUUGAUUUAAUUUAUUGUCAAUAACAAACGUAUGCAACAAAACAACAAAAGCAACAACAACAGCAACCUACUGCAGGAAUAAAAGCAAAACCUAGAAACAAAGGAAAGAAAA